rnacentral:other from 16 species
CUUUCAAUUCCUUUUGGGAUUCAUC